rnacentral:rRNA from 1 species
GAGUUUGAUCCUCGGCUCAGAUUGAACGGCUGGCCGGGAUGCUUUACACAUGCAAGUCGGACGGCAGCACGGGCUUCGGCCUGGUGGCGAGUGGCGAACGGGUGAGUAAUGUAUCGGAACGUGCCCAGUAGCGGGGGAUAACUACGCGAAAGCGUAGCUAAUACCGCAUACGCCCUACGGGGGAAAGCGGGGGGACCUUCGGGCCUCGCAACUAUUGGAGCGGCCGAUAUCGGAUUAGCUAGUUGGUGGGGUAACGGCUCACCAAGGCGACGAUGUCUAGGGGCUCUGAGAGGAGAAUCCCCCACACUGGUACUGAGACACGGACCAGACUCCUACGGGAGGCAGCAGUAAGGAAUAUUGGUCAAUGGGCGGAAGCCUGAACCAGCCAUGCCGCGUGCAGGAUGACCGCCCUAUGGGUUGUAAACUGCUUUUGUCCAGGAAUAAACCUAGAUACGUGUAUCUAGCUGAAUGUACUGGAAGAAUAAGGAUCGGCUAACUCCGUG